UACGUAGGGUGCAAGCGUUGUCCGGAAUUAUUGGGCGUAAAGAGCUCGUAGGCGGUCUGUUACGUCCGACCGUGUGAAACCCAGGGCUUAACCCGUGGGCUUGCAGUGGAUGACGGGUAGACUAGAGGCAGGUAGGGGAGGACUGGAAAUUCCUGGUGUAGCGGUGAAAUGCGCAGAUAUCAGGAGGAACACCGGUGGCGAAGGCGGGUCUCUGGGCCGUAACUGACGCUGGAGGAGCGAAAGCCGUGGGGAGCGAACAGGA
rnacentral:rRNA from 1 species